GUGCCAGCAGCCGCGGUAGUACAGAGGUCCCAAGCGUUGUUCGGAUUCACUGGGCGUAAAGGGUGCGUAGGCGGCCGGGAAAGUUUGAUGUGAAAUCUCCGAGCUCAGCUCGGAAAUUGCAUUGAAUACUCCCCGGCUAGAGGAUUGGAGGGGAGACUGGAAUUCUCGGUGUAGCAGUGAAAUGCGUAGAUAUCGAGAGGAACACCAGUGGCGAAGGCGAGUCUCUGGACAAUUCCUGACGCUGAGGCACGAAAGCCAGGGGAGCAAACGGGAUUAGAUACCCGAGUAGUCC
rnacentral:rRNA from 1 species